rnacentral:rRNA from 1 species
AACGAACGCUGGCGGCAUGCCUAACACAUGCAAGUCGAACGAAGCCUUCGGGCUUAGUGGCGCACGGGUGCGUAACGCGUGGGAAUCUGCCCUUUGGUUCGGAAUAACAGUUGGAAACGACUGCUAAUACCGGAUGAUGACGAAAGUCCAAAGAUUUAUCGCCAGAGGAUGAGCCCGCGUAGGAUUAGCUAGUUGGUGUGGUAAAGGCGCACCAAGGCGACGAUCCUUAGCUGGUCUGAGAGGAUGAUCAGCCACACUGGGACUGAGACACGGCCCAGACUCCUACGGGAGGAAGCAGUGGGGAAUAUUGGACAAUGGGCGAAAGCCUGAUCCAGCAAUGCCGCGUGAGUGAUGAAGGCCCUAGGGUUGUAAAGCUCUUUUACCCGGGAUGAUAAUGACAGUACCGGGAGAAUAAGCCCCGGCUAACUCCGUGCCAGCCGCCGCCGUAA